AUUCUAAUAGAUUCUUUAAA
rnacentral:tRNA from 1 species